UCUCCGUUGGUGAACCAGCGGAGGGAUCAUUACCGAGUUUACAACUCCCAAACCCCUAUGUGAACGUUACCAAGCUGUUGCCUCGGCGGGAAAUUCAUGCCCCGGGCGGGUCGCAGCCCCGGACCAAGGCGCCCGCCGGAGGACCAACCAAAACUCUUUUGUAUGUCCCUCGCGUACUUUUAUAAUUCUGAACCAUCUCGGCGCCCCUAGCGGGCGUUUCGAAAAUGAAUAAAAACUUUCAACAACGGAUCUCUUGGUUCUG
rnacentral:misc_RNA from 1 species